CAGUCGCCGCGGGAAUACAGAGGCCUCAAGCGUUGUUCGGAUUCAUUGGGCGUAAAGGGUGCGUAGGUGGCUUGGUAAGUUGAAGGUGAAAUCUCGGGGCUUAACCCCGAAACUGCCUUCAAUACUGCUAGGCUCGAGGACUGUAGAGGAGAAUGGAAUUCACGGUGUAGCAGUGAAAUGCGUAGAUAUCGUGAGGGAGACCAGUGGCGAAGGCGAUUCUCUGGGCAGUUCCUGACACUGAGGCACGAAGGCCAGGGGAGCAAACGGGAUUAGAUACCCCCGUAGUCCCUGUCUCUUAUAC
rnacentral:rRNA from 1 species